CAUUCGCAGAAGUGAAGAUGUAGGCCAAAAAAUACGAUCAGCCUUACUGUCAUUUUCGUUUCUAGCCCACAGGUAGAACUUGAUUCAUGUUGAAGUGUGGGAUGAGAAAUGUGCUGAACUUCUCCUUUCAAAACUUUCCGAUACCUCAGAAUCUGCUUGAUGGCAGCUGUGUAUCAGAGAAUGAGAAAGGAAUAAUACAUCCUCUAAGGUGGUGA
rnacentral:lncRNA from 1 species